AGAGUUUGAUCCUGGCUCAGAUUGAACGCUGGCGGCAGGCCUAACACAUGCAAGUCGAGCGGAUGAGUGGAGCUUGCUCCAUGAUUCAGCGGCGGACGGGUGAGUAAUGCCUAGGAAUCUGCCUGGUAGUGGGGGACAACGUUUCGAAAGGAACGCUAAUACCGCAUACGUCCUACGGGAGAAAGCAGGGGACCUUCGGGCCUUGCGCUAUCAGAUGAGCCUAGGUCGGAUUAGCUAGUUGGUGAGGUAACGGCUCACCAAGGCGACGAUCCGUAACUGGUCUGAGAGGAUGAUCAGUCACACUGGAACUGAGACACGGUCCAGACUCCUACGGGAGGCAGCAGUGGGGAAUAUUGGACAAUGGGCGAAAGCCUGAUCCAGCCAUGCCGCGUGUGUGAAGAAGGUCUUCGGAUUGUAAAGCACUUUAAGUUGGGAGGAAGGGCAGUAAGUUAAUACCUUGCUGUUUUGACGUUACCGACAGAAUAAGCACCGGCUAACUUCGUGCCAGCAGCCGCGGUAAUACGAAGGGUGCAAGCGUUAAUCGGAAUUACUGGGCGUAAAGCGUGCGCAGGCGGUUUUGUAAGACAGAUGUGAAAUCCCCGGGCUCAACCUGGGAACUGCAUUUGUGACUGCAAGGCUAGAGUACGGCAGAGGGGGAUGGAAUUCCGCGUGUAGCAGUGAAAUGCGUAGAUAUGCGGAGGAACACCGAUGGCGAAGGCAAUCCCCUGGGCCUGUACUGACGCUCAUGCACGAAAGCGUGGGGAGCAAACAGGAUUAGAUACCCUGGUAGUCC
rnacentral:rRNA from 1 species